CACGCACACACGCACACACACACACACAAAUAGACUCGUGCGGUUCAGUUGUGGUUUCUGUAGAGAUAACCAGACGAAGUAGCAGUUGUGGUUUCUGUAGAGAUAACCAGACGUAGUAGCAGUUGUGGUUUCUGUAGAGAUAACCAGACGUAGUAGCAGUUGUGGUUUCUGUAGAGAUAACCAGACGUAGUAGCAGUUGUGGUUUCUGUAGAGAUAACCAGACGUAGUAGCAGUUGUGGUUUCUGUAGAGAUAACCAGACGUAGUAGCAGUUGUGGUUUCUGUAGAGAUAACCAGACGAAGUAGCAGUUGUGGUUUCUGUAGAGAUAACCAGACGUAGUAGCAGUUGUGGUUUCUGUAGAGAUAACCAGACGAAGUAGCAGUUGUGGUUUCUGUAGAGAUAACCAGACGUAGUAGCAGUUGUGGUUUCUGUAGAGAUAACCAGACGUAGUAGCAGUUGUGGUUUCUGUAGAGAUAACCAGACGUAGUAGCAGUUGUGGUUUCUGUAGAGAUAACCAGACGUAGUAGCAGUUGUGGUUUCCAACAGGUCAAUAUUCUCCACAGUUUAACACAGAAAACAAACAUAAUGCAUUGAGCGUCUAGACCUGUCCGGUCUGUGUGUUUCUUUUCCGCCUGCUACAUUAAGUUUGUCUGGGACACGGAGAGAGAGAGGGAGCAGCGAGAGAUCUCUACCUGAAAAUACAUGAUCAAAGUGAUUGAUAGUUGGUAUUGCUAGUUGGUAUUGAUAGUUGGUAUUGAUAGUUGGUAUUGAUAGUUGGUAUUGAUAGUUGGUAUUGCUAGUUGGUAUUGAUAGUUGGUAUUGCUAGUUGGUAUUGAUAGUUGGUAUUGCUAGUUGGUAUUGAUAGUUGGUAUUCAGCCAUCGUAAAAGCCUUAUUUACAUUUGAAGAACUACUAAAAUAGUGACUUUGUCAGACAACAUACGCAGUCCCUCUGUAGA